CAGAAUCUGUGUUCAAUCCCAAACGCCUAGACAAGAUGGUGACUAGACACAUGUACUAGUAGAUGCAGUCAUCUGUUCAGAGUUAUCAUACAGCAAAUCCCAUAUGUUCCACCAUCAUCACAGCCUAAUGAAAUAUAUCCAGUGAGCUAAUUAUUCUUGGAAGUAUGGGAAAUAAGUCAAUACGCAAGCAGAACUUUUGGAAGGAGCGGCAUAUUCUAUAGUGGCACCGUUAGUACCUAUAAAGUCAAGAAAGUAUAAAACAUUGUGUUUUCAAAUAUAAAAUUAUCGGAAAUAUUG